rnacentral:lncRNA from 1 species
UAUUUUUCAAAAAUCAUAAUUAGUGUGUGACUUAAGAAAAUUAGCUACCUCGUGCUUAACUCUAGAGAUGCCCAUCUUUUGACAUAACCUUAUAUAUGUUAACGUGAUGCUCCAUUUUAAAUUUCGUGGCAAUCGGAGUUGUAGAACUCCGGUUAUAGCGAUUUCCGUCAGAAAAUCACAAAAAUUAGAAUAGUCAUAACUUGGCCGUUUUAACUCGGAAUUAGCUCAUUUUUGGACACGAGCUACAUAAUACCACAUAUUUUCAUUUCCCAAAAGCCCGGAAUUUUUCUCACAAAAUAAAUUACCGAAACAGCCUCCGGAAAAGUUUUGGCAGUUUACUUUUGCGCAUUUGCAGUUUUGGAGUCCUUUACCAAAACUUAAAUAAAAUGAAAUCUAUAACUCCGAUUAAUGAUCCGUCAAUUUUGUUGGAUUCCUAUCUUUCCGAAAUACAGUUU